UACGAAGGGGGCUAGCGUUGCUCGGAAUCACUGGGCGUAAAGGGUGCGUAGGCGGGUCUUUAAGUCAGGGGUGAAAUCCUGGAGCUCAACUCCAGAACUGCCUUUGAUACUGAAGAUCUUGAGUCCGGGAGAGGUGAGUGGAACUGCGAGCGUAGAGGUGAAAUUCGUAGAUAUUCGCAAGAACACCAGUGGCGAAGGCGGCUCACUGGCCCGGUACUGACGCUGAGGCACGAAAGCGUGGGGAGCGAACAGG
rnacentral:rRNA from 1 species